rnacentral:rRNA from 1 species
AUUGAACGCUGGCGGCAGGCUUAACACAUGCAAGUCGAGCGGGGACUUCGGUCCUAGCGGCGAACGGGUGAGGAAUGCUUGGGAAUCUGCCCAGUAGUGGGGGAUAACGUUUCGAAAGGAACGCUAAUACCGCAUACGUCCUACGGGAGAAAGGGGGGGAUCUUCGGACCUCUCGCUAUUGGAUGAGCCCAAGUCGGAUUAGCUAGUUGGUGAGGUAAAGGCUCACCAAGGCGACGAUCCGUAGCUGGUCUGAGAGGAUGAUCAGCCACACUGGAACUGAAACACGGUCCAGACUCCUACGGGAGGCAGCAGUGGGGAAUAUUGGACAAUGGGCGAAAGCCUGAUCCAGCCAUGCCGCGUGUGUGAAGAAGGCCUUCGGGUUGUAAAGCACUUUAAGCGAGGAGGAAUGGCUCUUGGUUAAUAACCUUGAGCAGUGACGUUACUCGCAGAAUAAGCACCGGCUAACUCUGUGCCAGCAGCCGCUGUAAAAC